rnacentral:rRNA from 1 species
AGCGAACGCUGGCGGCAUGACUUAACACAUGACAAGUCGCAACGACCGGGUUUUCGGGCCUGGGAGUGGCGGAACGGGUGAGUAUCGCGUAGGGAUUUGUCGUUGGGUGGGGGACAACCUUGGGAAACUGGGGCUAAUACCGCAUGACGCCUGUGGGCCAAAGCUCGAGAGGGCGCCUGACGAGGAGCCUGCGUCCGAUUAGGUAGUUGGUUGGGUGAUGGCUGACCAAGCCUGCGAUCGGUAGCUGGUCUGAGAGGAUGGCCAGCCACACUGGGGACUGAGACACGGCCCAGACUCCUACGGGAGGCAGCAGUGGGAAUAUUGGACAAUGGGCGCAAGCCUG